rnacentral:rRNA from 1 species
GAACGCUGGCGGCAGGCUUAACACAUGCAAGUCGAGCGGGGAAAGGUAGCUUGCUACUGGACCUAGCGGCGGACGGGUGAGUAAUGCUUAGGAAUCUGCCUACUAGUGGGGGACAACAUUUCGAAAGGAAUGCUAAUACCGCAUACGUCCUACGGGAGAAAGCAGGGGACCUUCGGGCCUUGCGCUAAUAGAUGAGCCUAAGUCGGAUUAGCUAGUUGGUGGGGUAAAGGCCUACCAAGGCGACGAUCUGUAGCGGGUCUGAGAGGAUGAUCCGCCACACUGGGACUGAGACACGGCCCAGACUCCUACGGGAGGCAGCAGUGGGGAAUAUUGGACAAUGGGGGGAACCCUGAUCCAGCCAUGCCGCGUGUGUGAAGAAGGCCUUAUGGUUGUAAAGCACUUUAAGCGAGGAGGAGGCUACUAGUAUUAAUACUACUGGAUAGUGGACGUUACUCGCAGAAUAAGCACCGGCUAACUCUGUGCCAGCAGCCGCGGUAAUACAGAGGGUGCGAGCGUUAAUCGGAUUUACUGGGCGUAAAGCGUGCGUAGGCGGCCAUUUAAGUCAAAUGUGAAAUCCCCGAGCUUAACUUGGGAAUUGCAUUCGAUACUGGAUGGCUAGAGUAUGGGAGAGGAUGGUAGAAUUCUAGGUGUAGCGGUGAAAUGCGUAGAGAUCUGGAGGAAUACCGAUGGCGAAGGCAGCCAUCUGGCCUAAUACUGACGCUGAGGUACGAAAGCAUGGGGAGCAAACAGGAUUAGAUACCCUGGUAGUCCAUGCCGUAAACGAUGUC